UAUAUAUAAGUGUAUUUUGCACUUAAAUUUUUGAAAUUUAAAGAAAUAAAUAAUAUUUAUUAUAUAUAU
rnacentral:tRNA from 1 species